AACAAUGCAUUAAGCUGAAUUGUCCAUUACAUUUCUAUUUAAGACAUUGUAAUUACAUGAAAGAUAGCAUUACCAGUAAGAACAAAAUUUAUCAUAGGAGAGUGCUAAUGCAUUUAGAUGCAAUGAGAGUAGGUUUAAUUAUAGUACAUUUAGGAUCGAUAUGCCCAGGGCAAUAAACUUUACAACAACAUACGAAGGUUUAAUAAGCAUGAAACAUAAGAACAAUGUAGGCUAAACCUUCCAUGCAUCUGAAAAGCUGAAAUGCAAAGAAGUUUUUAUUUAUUGCCUCAGGUAAAAAAGUCUGCAGACACAGAUAAGUGAUGACAAAGCUUUGAUGUUAAUAAACCCAAAUGGAAGUCAAAAAUCAAAGUGUGUAAACGGCUAGGUUAUAGAAAGAAAGAUGACAGAGUUAUACCCUGUAAUUAGGUGUAAUUUGUGCUUUUGGCACAGCUAUUUGUCCUGCAUGAAUAAGAGGUUGUCUUAUGUUUUCUUGUCCCUGUAUAAUAGAAUUGCAUUACAGGCACAUCCCACUUCAAACCUCCCUUGAUUUUUUUUUUUUUCCCAAGAACUAUUUGAAAGGAGUGUGCAUGUUGCUUCCUUUUUAUGUGAGUGUUGCAGUUAGCUUGCCAUUCCUGGUACUUGAAAAUAAUCAUGAGCUCAGUGCUUAUAAAACACUUGCAGUAAGAAACAGAGUAAUAAUUCUAGUAAAAUGCAACCAACUCACAAAAUGAGUUUCUGCCCUGAGUAUAAAUCAGAGAUGCUUGCAUGUUAUACAAGUAAAUUACAUCAAAACUAGAAAAUUAAUAAUCCAGUUUUAAUUAUUUAAUGAGUUGUUCUGUUCAACAGCUGCAUAAUUGGUAGUCUCAUCCAUAUUUUAAACUGUUGUGGAACAAAUUGCUGUUAAUUUUAUUUAGUUGAUUCCUGUCUUCGUUUUAUGAUGUCUAUGCACGAGACAUCAAUUUUUCAGUGCUGAAACCUAUUUUACAACCAUCUUUCUGUCACGCACUGUGAAUAUUUAAACAGAAAUAAUACAUUGUACUUUCUGUGUUACAAAGAAGCUGAAAAGAUCUGUUGAGUCAGAGAAAAGUGCUAAUUUACGUAUGGCUAUAUAUCUAUACAGGUAUCACUUCUUAAACUUCCCUCUUAGGGGAUAAUUUCCAUAUUUUUAGGCAUGCUAAAUUGUCUGUGCCUUUAAUGGAACUACCACAUGGUUGGCUACUGAGACAUGGGUUUAAUCUCUGCUGUGAAGUUCACAGUUGUCAUUUGAUGAGAUGUGAAAUCCCCUGCCAGAGCACCUUUUGCUUGGCCGCAUUACACGUUUGAGGUUGUAAAUCCAUUAUGUGCAAUGUGAGAAUUGACUGCUCCAGCAGUGCAAAGCCACUUGCCCAAGCUCAUUUUCCUCACAGUCAUGAAAAUGCAUGAAACAAAAUUAAAAUUAAAAAAAAAACUUAUUUUUAUCUUUACUUGAAUAUGAUUUUCCUCUUUUUGCAGUGUCUACUGCUUUUUACUUGAAAUUUGAGCCUGCCACGUUCAUGAAAUUCCCAAAUGUGACCAUGCCUGUGAACACUGUGGAGUGGUUACAUGUCAGUGAUCCCUGGUGGCACGAGGUGACAUUCUGCCUCCUGGAUGUGUCCUGUCUUCUAUUAGAUCCUUACAAGGAUGUAUGCUUAUAUUAUGGUGCUUAAGUCUGUUCAUUUCUUUUUCAUUGUCUUUUCAGUUAUGAAGGUUUUUUGCAUGAAUUCGACCUUGGAGGACAAACUCCCCGGUGGGGAAGGUUGCCCUUUCUUGUUUCAGGCAUUUCCUUUCUGUUUGGGUUGAGCAGGCUGCAGUUUCCCUUCUGAUGAUGUCUGUUCAUUCAGAAGUGAGGCAUUCCUUCCUCCCAGCCCAGCACCAUCCCUGCAUUCUUACAUGCCUCUCUUUCUCCCACUGUCAUAUCCAGUCCAGGAACUGCCUUGGGCUACACUGGGGAAGAGGAUUUGCCAAGUCUGUAAGUAUUUCUGCUGUUGAAGGAAUAAUCUUCUUGUUACAAAACCAGUUAUGUAAGUAUUUAAUUUCAAAGGUCACAUUUGGUAAGCUAAAGUGGUUGGCUAAAAUUUCUGGAAGCCUACAUGAGGUAUUAAAUUAAAAAAAAAAAAAAAAAAAAAGGCAAAUCCCCAAACUGUAUUUAAACUUUUGCCCAUGCUGUCAGAACUUAAAAUUAGCUUCAGAAGAUUUAAGUGAAAUCUGAUACUUUUUGAUAUGAUUCUACUGAAGUAAUUUCAGAUCUUAUUUUGAGACUGAAUGGGAUUCAGUAGGAUUCCAACAAACAUAGAGAAUGAAUGUUAUAGGAGUACAGCCUCCAGGAGAAAUUCAGUAACAGUGCAGUGACCUGGUGGUUACAAUUCUAGGUGCUUGUAGACGGAUUGUCCUCAUCGCUACAGGAUUUCUGCAGCCUUAAAAUAUGAAGAAUUCAGAUCUUAUAUGCUGUGUAUAUUCAACAGGUGCCAAAAGGAUCUGUGUCAGCAGAGGCUCUUGCUCGGGUUCAUUUUUCACCUGAUGGACAGAAACAGAAGGACAUGGAGUUCAUCUCCAGAUACAGCAUUCACGUUCCUUCUGCUAACUUUUCCCUACUGGUGGGAUAAACAGAAUCAUUGAAGGACUACAGAAUCAGAAUAUAUAUUUCUUUAAAGAGGGUGUUGUUUCUGCUAUUUCAUCCAAACAAAAUGAACAAUUAUUUUCUAAUAGAAUUAUGACCAUAAGCCAAAAUGUAGAAUGCCUCAUUUUACUGAUUUGUACAUCCGAGUUCCCCAUACUUGUGUUUAAUAAAUGUUUGUUUUGGUACCAAAGUGCACAUUGCAGUUUUUACCACCCUUCAUUCCUAACUUUAAUAAAAGCUUGUUUUGCCUUUUUUUUUUUUCCUGUAAAUCUCACGCAAACAUUUUGAAAAUUGUCAAAAGAAAUCCACCGUAGCCUUAAAAAUCAAUUCUGCAAAGGUGAUUGAGUUUGUGCUUUUCUUUUAAAGAUCAAACUUCCUGUAAUACUUCCCAUAUAAUCCCUGUGUAGUUAAAUAGCCCAGCAGUCAUAACAUGCUUGAAAUGUAUGCAAAGCAUUGGCCCAAAGUUUAACUCUUAAUAACAGAAGGAUCAAAGGACAUGAUUCCUUUUAAAUAAAACAUGAUACAGACAUAAAUGUUAGUCUGAGUGAAGGCUUUGAAAGCAUGCAUUUUGGAUAUUUUAUAUGUAGAUUAAAAUCAGUUUGCCUUGUCUCGGACAGAGAAAGAAAUCUCGCACACCUUCGUCAUUCUGAAACCAAUGCUGUCAUCUCAGUUUGUGCACUGAUUUAUGGCUCUGAUGGAGGAUGAUGGCUCUCAGGGAGGCAAUCUGUGGUAUGCUUCUUGCUUCCUUGUGUACAAAAAUAAAGCGUGCGUGUUCAGAAAUGUGCUUUGAUGUCUUAAAAAAAGACACUGGUAACAGAACAAUCUUGUACAUUUGUAACUUGCCGUGUAACUUGGAAUUAUUAAGUAAACAUUCUUUGAAAGUAACUGUGUUGCUGUAGGGUACUGAAAAUAAUGGGAGCUGCAAUAUCCUAGUCAUAAUUUGAGUGAAUUAUGAAGACAGGUCAGUGGCUUUUUUUCUGUCCUGAAAUUUGUCUUUAAAAAGCCAGUUGUGUGGUCUUACGCAGCUGACUUCUGCUCUUCAGAGCCUCCCACUGGGAUGAACCAAAUCACAGAAGUGUUUGAAGAAGCUGCCUGGCACCAGUGUCCUUUUGUGGUUCAAUUUAAAAGGGGGAUGCUGUGUUUAUAGCAAAUUUAUGUCCGCUUUUCCCAAGCUAUUGUUCUGAAAUGUCAAAUUAUAAAAUAACCUCUGCUGUGGUGAAGUGUAUUUUGUCUCAGUUCUUAAAGAUUUUACAUCUGAAAGUUUUCCCUGUCAUUAAAUAUAAUAUCUUUACUUUCACAUGCUAAUGCACUGCACCAUUUAUGCUUUAGUGUUUCAAUUAAGUACUUGCUAUCCAACAUUUAAAAAGAACACUUUAAUUGUUGAGGACAGGAACAAAUUCACACAGCAUGUAUGUUAACUGUAGUGUUGAAUCAUAGAAUCAUAGAAUGACCUGGCCUGAAAAGGCCCUCGAAGUUCAUCUAGUUUCAAUCCCCCUGCUAUGUGCAGGGUCACUACCCACCA